UCAAGAUUUUUGUGUCAAGCAUUCUACGUAAAAGUAUAAAUUCGGCGUGUCGAAUAAUAUCAAUAUUGCCAAAGACAACCAUCGGCAGAAAAGAUGAAGGUGGUGUUUCUCGUCUGCUUGCUUAUCUGCGCAACGUUUGUUCCGGUAUCUGCUCAAUGCGAAACGUAUUGUUGUCAGUACAAUUCUAACAAUUCUAUCUGUACAAGAGUUUGCUGCGUACCUGAGUAUAGAAAAAGACGAUCCUUGUCCUCAUUCAAAUUCAAAUUCAAAGAACCAAGUGCUGUUCAUGAGCCAUUUAAGCAGAGGUUUAAACAUCAGUAAAAUGAUGGUUAUGGCAGUCUUUGACAUCCACGUGAUGAUACAAGAGUGAACUGGAGUUUCCUGUUUAUUUCUCAGAAUUUGCUGAUCUUCCCUAUUACACUGUGCACUUUGUAUUCUUCCCUGCUUGAAUAAAAAGUUAAAAUCA